rnacentral:rRNA from 1 species
UACGGGGGGAGCAAGCGUUGUUCGGAUUUACUGGGCGUAAAGGGCGCGUAGGCGGCGCAACAAGUCACUUGUGAAAUCUCCGGGCUUAACCCGGAGCGGUCAAGUGAUACUGUCGUGCUAGAGUGCGGAAGGGGCUACUGGAAUUCUUGGUGUAGCGGUGAAAUGCGUAGAUAUCAAGAGGAACACCUGCGGCGAAGGCGGGUUGCUGGGCCGACACUGACGCUGGAGGCGCGGAAAGCCUAGGGGGAGCGAAACGG